GUGGGGAAUAUUGGACAAUGGGCGCAAGCCUGAUCCAGCCAUGCCGCGUGAGUGAUGAAGGCCUUCGGGUUGUAAAGCUCUUUAGUCCACGAAUAUAAUGACUGUAGUGGAAGAAUAAGCCCCGGCUAACUUCGUGCCAGCAGCCGCGGUAAUACGAAGGGGGCGAGCGUUAUUCGGAAUCACUGGGCGUAAAGCGUGCGUAGGCUGUUUUGUAAGUCAGAAGUGAAAGACCAGGGCUUAACCCUGGAAUUGCUUUUGAAACUACAAGACUCGAAUUCGGGAGAGGAUAGCGGAAUUGUCAGUGUAGCAGUGAAAUGCGUAGAUAUUGACAGGAACACCAGUGGCGCAAGCGGCUAUCUGGACCGAUAUUGACGCUGAGGCACGAAAGCGUGGGGAGCAAACAGGAUUAGAUACCCCAGUAGUCC
rnacentral:rRNA from 1 species